rnacentral:tRNA from 1 species
AUAGGUGUAGGUUAAUAAAACCCUUAGUUUGUGGCACUUAAAACACCAGUUAAAGCCUGGUCAUCUGUC